rnacentral:misc_RNA from 1 species
GAUGAAGAACGUAGCGAAAUGCGAUAAGUAAUGUGAAUUGCAGAAUUCAGUGAAUCAUCGAAUCUUUGAACGCACCUUGCGCUCCUUGGUAUUCCGAGGAGCAUGCCUGUUUGAGUGUCAUGAAAUUCUCAACCUUUUCAGCUUUCUUUGUUGAUCAGGCUUGGAUGUGGGAGUAUGCGGGCUUCUCAGAAGUCGGCUCUCCUGAAAUGCAUUAGCGGGACCUUUGUUGCCUGGCUUUGGUGUGAUAAUUAUCUACGCCAUUAUGGUCAAGCAGCUUAAAAUGAGGUUUCAGCUUCUAACCGUCUCCCCUGAGACAACUUUUUGACAAUUUGACCUCAAAUCAGGUAGGACUACCCGCUGAACUUAAGCAUAUCAAUAAGCGGAGGA